rnacentral:lncRNA from 1 species
CACACACACACACACACACACACACACACACACUCACGCACAGCCUACCCCAUCCAAAAUGUUUCCGACAAAAAUCUGGCACUCCUGGUUCUAAUCAAAAUACUGAACUUUGGAACAAAUUAACAUUCCGCAGCCUGCAGGGAAGGGGGAACUCAGCCGAGACAACUUCGGCUCACAACCAUCACAAAAAUAGCUCCUCCUGGGGAAGACACAUUCUGCUAACAAGGUCACUUUUGUUUGGCUUCUCCUGCCAUCUGGCUGAGUGGCACCAGGGGCUGGCUCUGGGACCAGCUAAAUUCUGCAGCGUGGAUGGGAGCCGGGUGGCACCGCAGAAGGCUUCUCAGCCUCCUGGCAAGAAAAGUCGGUGCAAAGUUACCUUCAGACACCCCAGAAAGAGCACRGGCAGAUGGAGCCCCGGUUUCACCCAGCCCUGCUCUGCUCGGCUCUGCACUGAAGCUUGCAGGAGGUGUCACUCCAGAGACAGCAACAAGCAGGUUGUCUGGCCUCGUGUGUCUGUGAUCUGAGCUCUGCUGAGGGUGGGAGUACAAUUCCCAGGCUGAGGUCAAGUGCAUCCCCAAGGGCUCCUGCUGUGGGCCUGGACAGAGAGGAGCCCAGCGACUCAGCUCUUCCCAGUCAGAGGCUGGGCUCAGCAACUCCCGUCUCAGGCUGGUGCUAUUCCAACUGGCCUCCAUCUUUCAGGUAAAUGACACAUUUUUUCAGUCUCUCUGUGUUUUGAACAAGAGGCCGACAGAGAGAGGAGGCUGUGAAUUACAAUCAGAGUUUCCUGCCGCAGAGCACACAGAUGAGCAUUGAUCUCAGACUCUCUUACUGUCAUCAUUUACUGAGUGCUGGAAAGACUUGCACAUAAUUCAGCGGAGGAAAACAGAAUUCUGGUCGCCAGCCGCAUGUCAACAAAACACCCGGAUGAUAUGGGCGGCUGAAACAGAGAGAAGCAAGCCUCCACCCAUCCCAGCCUCCUCAGGCUCCACAAAUACCAAGCUCUUGGCCGAGGCUUGCAUUAGUCUCCAGAUCAACAUUAUCGGGGUGUGAUUUACAUGCAAUAAACUACAAAAAAAAUCAUGAUUUGAUGCUUUA